GUGGGGAAUAUUGGGCAAUGGGCGAAAGCCUGACCCAGCAACGCCGCGUGAUUGAAGAAGGCCUUCGGGUUGUAAAGAUCUGUCCUAUGGGACGAAAAAAAUGACGGUACCAUAGGAGGAAGCCCCGGCUAACUACGUGCCAGCAGCCGCGGUAAUACGUAGGGGGCGAGCGUUGUCCGGAAUUACUGGGCGUAAAGGGUGCGCAGGCGGUUUUUUAAGUGAGAUGUGCAAUACCCAGGCUUAACUUGGGGGGUGCAUCUGAUACUGGAGGACUUGAGUGCAGGAGAGGAAAGUGGAAUUCCUAGUGUAGCGGUGAAAUGCGUAGAUAUUAGGAGGAACACCAGUGGCGAAGGCGACUUUCUGGACUGUAACUGACGCUGAGGCACGAAAGCGUGGGGAGCAAACAGGAUUAGAAACCCUUGUAGUCC
rnacentral:rRNA from 1 species